UUGGGAAUCUUGCACAAUGGGGGAAACCCUGAUGCAGCGACGCCGCGUGGAGGACGAAGGAUCUAGGUCUGUAAACUCCUUUUUCAUGGAAAGACUUAGGACGGUACCAUGAGAAUAAGCACCGGCUAACUACGUGCCAGCAGCCGCGGUAAGACGUAGGGUGCAAGCGUUGUCCGGAUUUACUGGGCGUAAAGAGCGCGUAGGCGGUCUGUUAAGUGAGAAGUGAAAUCUCCAGGGCUCAACCCGGAAACUGCUUUUCAUACUGGCAGACUUGAGGGAUGUAGAGGUUUACGGAAUUCCUGGUGUAGCGGUGGAAUGCUUAGAUAUCAGGAGGAACACCGAUGGCGAAGGCAGUAAACUGGGCAUCUCCUGACGCUGAGGCGCGAAAGCGUGGGUAGCA
rnacentral:rRNA from 1 species